AAAGUACUCCCGCCGUCCCAAAAUUCUUGUCUCAGAUUUGUCUAGAUAUGGAUGUAUCAAGUCACAUUUUAGUAUUAGAUAGAUCCGUAUCUAAACAAAUCUAAGACAAGAAAUUUGGGACAGAGGGAGUAGUUG
rfam:Triticum aestivum genome assembly, contig: Triticum_aestivum_CS42_TGACv1_scaffold_180133_2DS